CUACGGGGCGCUCCAGUGAGGAAUAUUGCACAAUGGAGGAAACUCUGAUGCAGCAACGCCGCGUGGAGGAUGACGCAUUUCGGUAUGUAAACUCCUUUUAUAUGUCAAGAAAAUGACGGUAGCAUAUGAAUAAGCACCGGCUAACUCCGUGCCAGCAGCCGCGGUAAUACGGAGGGUGCAAGCGUUACUCGGAAUCACUGGGCGUAAAGGACGCGUAGGCGGAAUAUCACGUCAGGUGUGAAAUCCUACAGCUUAACUGUAGAACUGCACUUGAAACUGGUAACCUAGAGUAUGGGAGGGGGAGAUGGAAUUAGUGGUGUAGGGGUAAAAUCCGUAGAUAUCACUAGGAAUACCUAAAGCGAAGGCGAUCUCCUGGAACAUAACUGACGCUAAGGCGUGAAAGCGUGGGGAGCAAACAGGAUUAGAUACCCUAGUAGUC
rnacentral:rRNA from 1 species